AAGGGCACAGCCUCCCUCCCCUGGCCCUUCGGAAAAUCGGGCUCAUGUUUUAGGAGAGAACAUGAUUUGCUAAGGAGAGCUGGGCUCCUAGGCCAAAGGGUGACUGGCGUUGCUGGAAGUACCCCAUUAACUUUCCUCUGCAGUUCCAGAGAAGCUGUCGGACUCACCUCCUGCAGGCUCCUCUGUCCUAAAUCUAACAGGAACUCUGCCACAUCUAGACACGGAGAACUGGCACCAGCCACGGUCCAUCCCAGUGAGAAUGAAGUCCCACAGUCCCAGGAAAGGAUUACCCUGUAGCUGUGGUCACAGGUAUCCCCAGAACUGGUUUUAAAUCUGCCUCACCCUUCGGUGACAGCCUCAGGCUUUGCGAGUCAGCCAGUCAGAGGCAGCCUUCCUAGACAUCAGCCCACACUGGCCUCCAGAACCAGUACAGCUCGUUCCUCCAAACCCCGGAGAAGAUGAGUCAUUUGCUUUGCUGAGUGUGGCCGAGCCUGACCAGCCAAGCUUGCCCUAAAUUAAGCAACACACUCAGUUGUUUGGCUUUGGAUGUGGAGUGUGCCUUUUCUUUAGACAAUGGGGCGUAUUUCUUUUAUGUCUGUGUUUUAGCCAAUCAGUGCCCAGGGUUAGUACCUGGAAUGACAGAUUUGUUUUUUACUUGAAUAUUCUGAAUUGUCUUUUCUAGUCUUUCUUUGCCCAGUGAGGAUAUUUAGUCAGAAACAGGGCUAUGGUGGGGGCAUAUGUGACGCCUUCCUUACUUCCAGCUCUGAGAGAGGAUCUGCGCCCUGAGAAAUCCAGGCUCCUGCAGCCUGUGUGAUUCGUUCCAAAACAGAUCUUUCCCCAGUUGUACUCCUUUACCCGGGGAUUUAGUGUAUAAGACCGUAUUUAUUUAUUUUUGGCUAUGCCCGUGGCAUAUGGAAGUUUCCAGGGCAGGGAUUGAACUUGAACCACAGCAGUGACAGGGCCGGAUCCUUAACUUGCUAGGCCAGAGAGGACACCAUAAGACCUUAUUUUUAAAAUCAUGGUCAAGACAAAUUUCACACUUCAAAAUCCAGAGGCCAGGUAAGCAACUCUGACAGGUUGCGCAUGUGGCUCUGACAUGUUGGGGAGGUGGGUGUGGGUGGGGUGGGGAGACAGGUGCUUCUGAAGCUGGAGGGGCUGAGGAGCCUGCUGCUGCUAAUACUUGGGCACUUUCAUCACAGCUAAAUUAGCCCUGGGGUUUCUACUCAACUAGGCGAGCAGAGGGGCUCAAACGGGGACAGUCUAGCUCCGUUCCAGCCGUCAGAGGAAUCACCCCAGAUACAGCAGGUAAAUUGACCAGAGUCACAGAGCAAGUCAGUACAGUCAGGACAAGGCUCUGGGGUCUCCUGGGCGCUUCCCCUCCACAUUCUAUGCUUGGCUUCUCCACUGGCGCAGAAAGGAAAUUCGGUUUCAUUACAAGCAACUCUUGAAAUUACCUUUUAAAAGCCUUUCACAUAGAAAGUCAUUCAGGCUUUGAAAAAGUUACGUUCAUAAACUUAUAUUUUUAUUCUCUUUCUGUACAUAUUGGCAAUGAUAAAGCUUAAAGAUGCAUGUCCUAUGACAUACACAAAAACAAGGAAUUUACAUAAAUAAUUUAUACUUCAGAAAAUUAAAGUUGCAAAAUAUUUUCCGCAUCAUUAGAGUUCACAGUAUGUAAAAUAAAUCAAGCUUUCCCCCUUAGAUUUCAAACUAUAUUGUCUCAGCAGAGAAUGACAAAAUCUAAUCAGCAAUAAAAUGAUCAAGUUUCUGUUUUUUUAUUCAGUGCACAAGUAGACACUACUGUGGUAUCAGGCUGUUCCCACGCUGAGCCUGCAGCAUUUCUUCCCAGUCCUUCUCCUCCUGAGUGGCUGUGACCCAGCAGAGGUCACAUGGUGUGGAAUGGUUACAGCGUCACCCAAACCACCCACAGUGGACACAUUCAACCAACUGGUAACGUCAGAUGGUCUGAUGCCUCAUUUCCACGUAAUACUUUUUAUAGCCCUGAAAAUGGAAACCCAGGCAUCUAAACACAGCCGACCAUGUUAACACUAAUACAAGGCACUGUGCUAUGGGGUUUGGUUUAUUUAUAGGAAAGAUCAUGUUUGCAUAGAUUGCUAGCGAUUUAGUGUGCAGUAAUAUAGAGGCCCCAGUGCGCGUGGCCUUGUGAUGGAUGAAGCCGUGUGGCGCUCCUCCAGCUCAGGGGCAGCACCAGCUGUCCUCUCCAGGCCAGCCUAGUGCCCAGCCUAGUGGGCAGAUCCCCAAGGCCCCUACAGGAGAGUUUUCUGCUCAAAAAGCUGUAGGUCAAAUCGGACCCAGACCUCCCCAGUGGGGACCUCGUGCAGCAGGAGUCGGCGAGUUGUAGGGCCUUUGCUUUCCUGUUCUGUUCGAAUUUUUGCCACUGGAACUUCCGUGCGACCCAGGAAAUCUGGUGAAUAGACAUGUGAGAGUCAAGUCUUCUUUAAAAAAUUUGUCAAGAAACGAUUACAGGAGGAGUGUCUGAAACAGGAUGCAUAAAGCUUUCAAAUCCAAAACAAGUAACUGCUUUUGGUUAAUGGCUGUUGGAUGCUGUGAAUGGAUGGAUACGUGCAGAACAAGGGGUACGUGUGAGGGAAGCUGCCAAAGGGAAUCCAAGACUCUCUGUCAGGGAGCGUCUCGCCCAUUCAGUAGGCGCCAGGAGCACAGUGUUUCCCUUAGGUUAGCGGGGUGAUUGGGGUCAAAGACCUCAAACACACCUGAGGCCACCCUCCCCUUGCCCGUAAGAAGGUGCCCCACCUGCUGCCGCUGUGAUCUGCUGAGGACCACGGCCUGCGUCACUGCCAAGGCUGAGCACCCUGUUCCAGACCCCAGGUCCUAGAGUAUGGGGAUCCCCUCCCCGAGUUAUACUUUACCAUCUGGUGAAAACUGGUCUCUGUCGAACAUGGUAAGACACAGCACAUCCUGAUAAAGAUCCUUAAUAAAGAACUGGCAGUUAAAAUUCCACUUGGGAUUUAGUGUGUCCUGGAGGGUCCUGGUGGUGUAGCUCUGGGAGCCCAUGCUGAUUUCACAGUACGGAUUGCUCUUUCCUGAACAAAAACAAACCAAGAAACACGUGGCAUGUGACAACAGGCCCUUCCUUGAGCAGAAGCAGGAUCCAAAUAGAUGCUUUCUGUAGACUACGGCUACAGAGGCUACUGCCUGAGGGCCCGCCUCCGCCUUGUGGUGUCUGUCCCCAAUGCUGACAGCACCAUAAACCUGGGGAGUGACUGACGGUGCGGGCUCGAACGCCAGGGCCACUCCCCAUGAGCAUGUGUCAGUGCAGGCUGCCUCGUGCUUCCUCCACUCAGAAGAACUGAGGAAGAAGGCAUCGGUUCUUAUUGGGAAGACAGAGUGAUAAUCACACUGAACCAACAGCCCUUUUAGUGGCACUGGAAACACUUUUUAAAAACAGUCCAUUAUUCAGUGUUCAGAAGCGUCAUCAGCAAAGAGUCGGGUAGUUACCAGGUCUGCUGAAUGAAAGAAGCAUUUACCAUUUGGUUUACAGGCUUUUAGUUCUGUAGCUUCAAUGAUGUGCACCAUCAGACGCCCGAUGCCUGAAGUCUUUUGAGAGCGAGCUGUGAGAGAGGAAGACGGGGGUGUGAAUUUCUUCUCGGAGGCUACAGGCAGCACAGUGAUGACGCUAAGCUGUAGAUACAGUCUGUCUUUCUAACCAACCCCGGCAGGCCCCGGCCUCACCUGCCACUGACUGGGCCUGGCAGGCCAGCAGCCGGCUGCUCUGUGCUUUUGGGUCCAGGCUGUGUCACCUGCUAGGACACCCUGCCACCGUCUCUGACUAUCGGCCUCCUAUACUUCCACGUGCAGGUCCAAGCUCGGGUCUCACCUCCCGAUCCCUUCCCUCUCUGCGUAUCCCACAGGCCGCGGGUCUGCAAUUCUGUGUCAGUCCAUCUCCUCUGCCCGGAGGGGACACGGCAGAGCACAGAUUGCUUCUUCAACCUUAUAUUAACCCCUUAGCCCCUAGCAGAGAGUAACAGUCACAGCAUCAUAAUACAUUAUAUUCAUUCAGCACGUAAAAGACGCUAACAUUUAUUGGAUACUUACUUGGUGGUAGGCAUGCGCUUGACCUUUACACGAGUUACGUUACUUAAAAUGCACAUUUACCCUAUAAGGUGGCUCUUUGUAGCUGCCAGCCCCAAAAUGAGAAAGCCGAGUCUUAGAAAGGACUGUAACAUGCCUCCUGUCCCAGAGCUUCUGCAUGGCAGGUACUUAAAACGUCUAUUUUCUGAACCACUCGUAAAAUUCCAAUUAUAUGUAAACACUCCAGUGUAUAAAGUUUUACCUAAGACCGCUAUUAAAGAGGUUCUCAAAAACACUCUUAACACGGAGAGACAUGAGUCAGCGAACUCAGAUUAUCUUGGUAAACCCUAGAGUUAAACUUUGCCCUUAUGCUUUUAAAAACUAAUGAAAAAGCUGGUUGAUGAACUAUUGAUUUUUCAAAAUUUAGGGCAGGAAGAACCUCCUCUAUGCGAAGUGGCUCACCCUCUUGCGUGCCCCCCGACACAUGCCUACCCCCUCCCUCAGUGCAGCACCUGCAUUCAGUUCCCCUUGAAGGCAGCGCUGGGCCAUAUUCAUUCCGUAGGCCCAGUUAAGCCUAGCACAGGGCCUGGCACAGAGUAAGUAGUCAAUAAAUGUCACAGAAGUGAACACGUGGAACAGUAUGUACAGAUAUUGCUAUUAAGCAAAAUACAGAAAAACUGAUUUACGUCUUUGACCAAUUAAAGAGAUCAUUAUAUGCUUUC
rnacentral:lncRNA from 1 species